rnacentral:rRNA from 1 species
CGGGUGAGUAAUGCUUGGGAAUCUAGCUUAUGAGGGGGAGUAACUACGGGAAACUGUAGCUAAUACCGCGUAGUAUCGGAAGAUGAAAGUGUGGGACCUUCGGGCCACAUGCCAUAGGAUGAGCCCAAGUGGGAUUAGGUAGUUGGUGAGGUAAAGGCUCACCAAGCCGACGAUCUCUAGCUGGUCUGAGAGGAUGACCAGCCACACUGGGACUGAGACACGGCCCAG